AAGUGGCUGUUCCACUGGUUGUCAUAAGGUGUAUGCACCAAUUUGUAAGUCGCUCUGGAUAAGAGCGUCUGCUAAAUGACUUAAAUGUAAAUGUAAAUAGCACGUCUGGGACAGAUAGCAGGUCUGGGACAGGUAGCAGGUCUGGGACAGGUAGCAGGUCUGGGACAGGUAGCAGGUCUGGGACAGGUAGCACGUCCGGUGAACAGGUAGCAGGUCUGGGACAGAUAGCAGGUCUGGGACAGAUAGCAGGUCUGGGACAGAUAGCACGUCUGGGACAGAUAGCACGUCUGGGA